rnacentral:rRNA from 1 species
CACGGGGGGUGCAAGCGUUAUUCGGAAUUAUUGGGCGUAAAGCGCAUGUAGGCGGAAAAGUCAGUCAGAUGUGAAAGCCCGGGGCUCAACCCCGGAAGUGCAUUUGAAACAGCUUUUCUUGAGUACUGGAGAGGAAAGUGGAAUUCCUGGUGUAGAGGUGAAAUUCGUAGAUAUCAGGAGGAACACCGGUGGCGAAGGCGACUUUCUGGACAGAUACUGACGCUGAGAUGCGAAGGCGUGGGGAGCGAACAGG